rnacentral:rRNA from 1 species
UACAGAGGGUGCGAGCGUUAAUCGGAAUUACUGGGCGUAAAGCGCACGUAGGCGGCUUGGUAUGUCGGGUGUGAAAUCCCCGGGCUCAACCUGGGAACUGCAUCCGAAACUGCCUUGCUAGAGUAUGGGAGAGGGAAGUGGAAUUUCCGGUGUAGCGGUGAAAUGCGCAGAUAUCAGGAGGAACACCGGUGGCGAAGGCGGGUCUCUGGGCCGAUACUGACGCUGAGGAGCGAAAGCGUGGGGAGCGAACAGG